UACGAAGGGGGCUAGCGUUGCUCGGAAUCACUGGGCGUAAAGGGCGCGUAGGCGGAUACUUAAGUCAGGGGUGAAAGCCUGAGGCUCAACCUCAGAAUUGCCUUUGAUACUGAGUAUCUCGAGACCGGAAGAGGUUAGUGGAACUGCGAGUGUAGAGGUGAAAUUCGUAGAUAUUCGCAAGAACACCAGUGGCGAAGGCGGCUAACUGGUCCGGUUCUGACGCUGAGGCGCGAAAGCGUGGGGAGCAAACAGG
rnacentral:rRNA from 1 species